UAACUAGACUAUUUGUGGACAGCUGAAUACACUUUAAGAAUUUUUCAUCAAUAUGUUGUAUUUUUAAAAUAAUUUUCUUAAAAACUGCUAUUUUUGGAAAGUUUUCAUUUUUUAGAAAAAUAAUAUAGAUUUGGGUUUGUGAUUUAAAAAUUAGAAUAACAAGAAUAUUUGUGGAUAGAUGAGUAUUCUUUAAGAAUUUUUCAUCAAUGUGUUGUAUUUUUAACCGAUGGUUUACAUAUAAAAUAAUAAAGAUAUUCACAGAAAAAAUAUUUUAAAUUUCAAAAAUUAGUUAAAUAAAAUUAAAAUGUGAAAAUUUUCAUAUAAAUAAAAAAUUAUAAACAUAAGAAAAUUAAAUAUAUUAUCCGCGCAUAGCGCGGAAAAAGGAUAUUAUAGCCGAAAAUUCUUCAGCCAUUAUGUAUCCCAACAACCACCAGGAGAUGGUUUCUUGGGGGUCAAAGGGUUUACACCGGUCUAUACUAAAUGUUCACGAAAUUUGCUCUAUUGUUUGUACAGGAUUCAGUCGAUUAGAAUGAUGAACUUAGAGAUGGGGUGACUAAAGACGUUUUUAUUAGAAUCCAAUAAAAGGGGUUACAAGAGUGAUCGGGAAGUAAGGAGACAAGCUCAAAAGUUAAAGCAACAAGAUCAAAGAGAUGAUUCAGGAACCCUAGAUCUAGCUGCUUGGUGUGUAAGUUGUCCAAAAGUCCCCUUAAGAUUUUUUCAUCAAUGUGUUGUAUUUUUAAAUAAUUUUCUUAAAAACUGCUAUUUUGGGAAAGUUUUCAUUUUUAGAGAAAUAUUGUAGAUUUGGGUUUGUGAUUUAGAAAUUAGGAUAACUAGACUAUUUGUGGACAGCUGAAUACACUUUAAGAAUUUUUCAUCAAUAUGUUGUAUUUUUAAAAUAAUAUUUUUAAAAACUGCUAUUUUUGGAAAGUUUUCAUUUUUUAGAGAAAUAAUAUAGAUUUGGGUUUGUGAUUUAAAAAUUAGAAUAACAAGAAUAUUUGUGGAUAGAUGAGUAUUGUUCAAGAAUUUUUCAUCAAUGUGUUGUAUUUUUAAAUAAUUUUCUUAAAAACUGCUAUUAUUGGAAAGUUUUUAUUUUAAAUAGAAAUAUUAUAGAUUUGGGUUUGUGAUUUAAAAAUUAGAAUAACAAGAAUAUUUGUGGAUAGAUGAGUAUUAUUCAAGAAUUUUUCAUCAAUGUGUUAUAUUUUUAAAUAAUUUUCUUAAAAACUGCUAUUUUUGGAAAGUUUUCUUUUUUUAGAGAUAUAUUAAAAAUUUGGGUUUGUGAUUUAAAAAUUAGCAUAACAAGAGUAUUUGUGGAUAGAUGAGUAUUCUUUCAGAGUUUUUCAUCAAUAGGUUGUAUUAUUAACUAAUUUUUUUAAAAACUGCUAUUUUUGGAAUAUUUUCAUUUUAUAGAUAAAUAUUGUAGAUUUGGCUUUAUGGUUAAAAUUUAGGAUAAAAAAAAUAUCUAUGGACAGAUGAAUACUCUUUAAGAAUUUUUCAUCAAUAGGUUGUAUUUUUAAAAUAAUUUUCUUAAAAACUGCAAUUUUUGGAAAAUUUUCAUUUUUUAGAGAAAUAUUAUAGAUUUGGCUUUGUGAUUUAAAAAUUAAGAUAACUAGAUUAUUUGUGGACAUAUGAAUACUCUUUAAGAAAUUUUCAUCAGUAGGUUAUAUUUUUAAAUAAUUUUCUUAGAAACUGCUAUUUUUGGAAACUUUACAUUUUUUUAGAGAUAUUUUGUAGAUUUGGGUUUGUGAUUUAGAAAUUAAGAUAACUAGACUAUUUGUGGAAAGAUGAAUACUCUUUAAGAAAUUUUCAUCAACAGUUUGUAUUUUAAAAUAAUUUUCUUAAAACCUGCUAUUUUUGGAAAGUUUUGAUUUUAAAGAUAAAUAUUGUAGAUUUGGGUUUGUGAUUUAAAAUUUAGGAUAACUAGACUAUUUGUGGAUAGAUGAGUAUUCUUUCAGAGUUUUUCAUCCAUAGGUUGUAUUUUAAAUAAUUUUCUUAAAAACUACUAUUUUUGGAAAGUCUUCAUUUUAUAGAUAAUUAUUGUAGAUUUGAGUUUGUGAUUUAGAAAUUAGGAUAACUAGACUAUUUGGGGACAGAUGGAUACUCUUUAAGAAUUUUUCAUCAAUAUGUUGUAUUUUUAAAAUAAUUUUUUUAAAAACUGCUAUUUUUGGAAAGUUUUCAUUUUUUAGAGAAAUAUUAUAGAUGUGGGUUUGUGAUUUAAAAAUUAGGACAACAAGAAUAUUUGUGGAUAGAUGAGUAUUAUUCAAGAAUUUUUCAUCAAUGUAAUGUAUUUUUAAAUAAUUUUCUUAAAAGCUGCUAUUUUUGGAAAGUUUUGAUUUUAAAGAUAAAUAUUGUAGAUUUGGGUUUGUGAUUUAAAAUUUAGGAUAAUAAAAAUAUUUGUGGAUAGAUGAGUAUUAUUCAAGAAUUUUUCAUCAAUGUGUUGUAUUUUUAAAUAAUUUUCUUAAAAACUGCUAUUUUUGGAAAGUUUUCAUUUUUAGAGAAAUAUUGUAGAUUUGGGUUUGUGAUUUAGAAAUUAGGAUAACUAGACUAUUUGUGGACAGCUGAAUACACUUUAAGAAUUUUUCAUUAGUAGGUUAUAUUUUUAAAUAAUUUUCUUAAAAAUUGCUAUUUGUAGAAAGUUUUCAUUUUUUAGAGAAAUAUUAUAGAUUUGGGCUUGUAAUUUAAAAAUUAGGAUAACAAGAAUAUUUGUGGAUAGAUGAGUAUUAUUCAAGAAUUUUUCAUCAAUGUGUUGUAUUUUUAAAUAAUUUUCUUAAAAACUGCUAUUUUUGGAGAGUUUUCAUUUUAUAGAUAAGUAUUGUAGAUCUGAGUUUGUGAUUUUAAAUUUAGGAUAACAAAAGUAUUUGUGGAUAUAUGAGUAUUAUUCAAGAAUUUUUCAUCAAUAGGUUGUAAUUUUAAAAUAAUUUUCUUAAAAACUGCUAUUUUUGGAAAGUUUUUAUUUUUAGAGAAAUAUUAUAGAUUUGGAUUUGUGAUUUAAAAAUUAGGAUAACUAGACUAUUUGUGGACAUAUGAAUACUCUUUAAAAAAAUUUCAUCAAUAUGUUAAAUUUUUAAUAUAAUUUUCUUAAAUACUGCUAUUUUUGGAAAGUUUACAUUUUUUUAGAAAAAUAUUGUAGAUUUGGGUUUCUGAUUUAGAAAUUAGGAUAACUAGACUAUUUGUGGAUAUAUGAGUAUUCUUUGGGAGUUUUUCAUCAGUCGAUUGUGUUUUUAAAUAAUUUUCUUAAAAACUCUUAUUUUUGGAAAGUUUUCAUUUUUAUUGACAAAUAUUGUGGAUUUGAGUUUGUGAUUUAGAAAUUAGGAUAACUAGACUAUUUGUGGACAUCUCAAAACUCUUUAAGAAUUUUUCAUCAAUAUGUUGUAUUUUUAAAAUAAUUUUCUUAAAAACUGAUAUUUAUGGAUAGUUUUCAUUUUUUUUGAGAAAUACUAUAGAUUUGAGUUUGUGAUUUAAAAAUUAGGAUAACAAGAAUAUUUGUGGAUAGUUAAGUAUUCUUUUAGAAAUUUUCAUCAAAAAGUUGUAUUUUAAAUAAUUUUCUUAAAAACUGAUAUUUAUGGAUAGUUUUCAUUUUUUUUGAGAAAUACUAUAGAUUUGAGUUUGUGGUUUAAAAAUUAAGAUAACAAGAAUAUUUGUGGAUAGUUAAGUAUUCUUUUAGAAAUUUUCAUCAAAAAGUUGUAUUUUAAAUAAUUUUCUUAAAAUUUCUAUAUUUGGAGAGUUUUCAUUUUUUAGAGAAAUAUUGUAGAUCUGGGUUUGUGAUUUAAAAAUUAUGAUAACAAGACUAUUUGUGGACAGCUGAAUACUCUUUAAUAAAUCUUCAUCAACAAGUUGUAUUUUAAAUAAUUUUCUUAAAAAUUUCUAUUUUUGGAAAGUUUUCAUUUUUUAGAGAAACAUUUUAGAUUUGGGUUUGUGAUUUAAAAAUUAGGAUAACAAGAAUAUUUGUGGAUAGAAGAGUAAUAUUUAAGAAUUUUUCAUCAAUGUGUUAUAUUUUUAAAUAAUUUUCUUAAAAACUGCUAUUUUUGGAAAGUUUUCAUUUUGUAGAUAAAUAUUGUAGAUUUAGGUUUGUGAUUUAGAAAUUAUGAUAACUAUACUAUUUGUGAACAGCUGAAUACUCUUUUAGAAUUUUUUAUCAAUAAGUUGUAUUUUUAUAUAAUUUUCUUAAAAACUUAUAUUUUUGGAAAGUUUUCAUUUUUUAGAGAAAUAUUGUAGACUUGGGUUUGUGAUUUAUAAUUUAGGAUAACAAAAAUAUUUAUGGAUAGAUGAGUGUUAUUCAAGAAUUUUUCAUCAAUGUGUUGUAUUUUUAAAUAAUUUUCUUAAAAAUUGCUAUUUUUGGAAAGUUUUCAUUUUAUAGAUAAAUAUUGUAGAUUUGGGUGUGUGAUUUAGAAAUUAGGAUAACUAGACUAUUUGUGAACAGCUCAAUACUCUUUAAGAAUUUUUCAUCAAUAUGUUGUAUUUUAAAAUAAUUUUAUUAAAAACUGAUAUUUAUGGAAAGUUUUCAUUUUUUAGAGAAAUAUUAUAGAUUUGGGUUUGUGAUUUAAAAAUUAGGAUAACAAGAAUAUUUUUGGAUAUAUGAGUAUUCUUUCGGAGUUUUUUAUCAGUCGAAUGUAUUUUUAAAUAAUUUUCUUAAAAACUGCUAUUUUUGGAAAGUUUUCAUUUUCUUAAAGAUAUAUUGUAGAUUUGAGUUUGUGGUUUAAAAAUUAAGAUAACAAGAAUAUUUGUGGAUAGUUGAGUAUUCUUUUAGAAAUUUUCAUCAGCAAGUUGUAUUUUAAAUAAUUUUCUU
rnacentral:lncRNA from 1 species